GUGCGAGACCGAUAGCGAACAAGUACCGUGAGGGAAAGAUGAAAAGAACUUUGAAAAGAGAGUUAAAGAGUACCUGAAACUGCUGAAAGGGAACCGAAUCGUAUCCAGUGUCUAUAAUCCAUGGCAUAUUUCAUUGGCGAGUGAGUGCGUGCAGCGUUUUGGAAGUGGUUUUCCGCUCCUGUCGUUGUUGUGCAUUUGCUUGCUGGUGCCCUGUGCUGUGGUGGGACGUCAGAGUCAGUUUGUAUGUUGCGGGAAAUGGUUAUUGGGGAGGUAGGUCACUUCGGUGGCUGUUAUAUCCUGGUAACUAGUCGUCGUGGCUGAGACUGAGGUGCCUACAAUGUGCUUUCGAGUGUGCGGGAUUCUCGUGUGGCUGUUUGCUUUGAUAGCUUGCUAUGUUGGUGAAUAAGUCGUGCGAUUGAUGUCUGGUCCAACUUGUUGCUGUUCGGGACUUUGAA
rnacentral:rRNA from 2 species